AGCCGACUGGGAUUAUCUAUUAUUCCGUGCGGUCGCUAUAACUGGAUCGCACGGGAUAAUCGAUUAUCCCAUGCGGUC
rnacentral:pre_miRNA from 11 species